CAGCCGCCGCGGUAAUACCGGCGGCCCGAGUGGCGGUCACUAUUAUUGGGCUUAAAGCGUCCGUAGCCGGGUUGGGAAGUCCUCCGGGAAAUCUGGCCGCUUAACGGUCAGAAUGCCGGAGGAUACUCCCAGCCUAGGGAGCGGGAGAGGCCGAGGGUAUUCCCGGAGCAGGGGUGAAAUCCUAUAAUCCCGGGAGGACCACCUGUGGCGAAGGCGCUCGGCUGGAACGCGUCCGACGGUGAGGGACGAAGGCCAGGGGAGCAAACCGGAUUAGAUACCCGGGUAGUCCUGGCGGUAAACGAUGCGGACUUUGUGUCGGACAAGCUAUGAGCUUGUCCGGUGCCGGAGGGAAACCGUUAAGUCCGCCGCCUGGGGAGUACGGCCGCAAGGCUGAAACUUAAAGGAAUUGGCGGG
rnacentral:rRNA from 1 species